rnacentral:rRNA from 1 species
GUGUCAGCAGCCGCGGUAAUACGGAGGGGGUUAGCGUUGUUCGGAAUUACUGGGCGUAAAGCGCACGUAGGCGGACUGUUAAGUCGGGGGUGAAAUCCCGGGGCUCAACCCCGGAACUGCCUUCGAUACUGGCAGUCUUGAGGAUGGGAGAGGCGAGUGGAAUUCCGAGUGUAGAGGUGAAAUUCGUAGAUAUUCGGAGGAACACCAGUGGCGAAGGCGGCUCGCUGGCCCAUUUCUGACGCUGAGGUGCGAAAGCGUGGGUAGCAAACAGGAUUAGAUACCCUGGUAGUCCACGCCCUAAACGGUGGGCACUAGGUGUGGGGCUCGAGAGGGUUCCGUGCCGAAGGGAAACCAAUAAGUGCCCCGCCUGGGGAGUACGGCCGCAAGGUUGAAACUCAAAUGAAUUGACGGGG